GCUUUGUCUGUUCAUUGGAUUGAUGUCAGAUAGCUUUUCCCAACCGCUGUCAUGUCGUCCCGUUACGCUAGUUCUACUGUGCUUUCCUUCCUUGGCCUAAGAAAGAUCGCGUUUUUUUCAUUUGGUACAUUUUAGCAAUGGAUACCGGGUUUUAGUAACAAAAAUUGGAUUCUAAAAUUUAAGGUUAAGAGUAUUAUAUAAUUUUCAUUUUCAAAACUAAAAAAACAAAAAAGAAACCCCUUAAAGCCUUACCCACUUAUCUCGUCCCUCUCAACCCUUUCUCUUUCAUCUCUCUCACUCCUACCUACCUUUUCUCUUUCAUCCCUACUGUAGCCCCCAAUUGAAAAAAUAAAAAACACUCGUCUAACCCUAAUUCACAUUCCUCACUCAUCCAAUUUGUUUCUCUCUCAUUUCCAUACAGCAACCGGUGACACCACAAUUUGUUGCUCUUGAUCUAUUCUCUCAUUUGUUUUCCACUUCAAUAACAAAAUAAUCAAAAGGAGUGUUGUAAGAUUAUUCAUUAUAUCUUAAUAUGUUUAUUUAUUAUUAUUAAUUUUGUAUUACAUGAAAUUACUUAUUUCAAUUUCAUAUAAACUACUCACACUAAAUGAUAAAAAAAACGAACAUCGUUCAACGCAGUUCUCAUUGUCAGAAAUGCACCCUUCAUACACCG
rnacentral:lncRNA from 1 species